GUUCAGUGUAGUAUAGGUGUCAUUUCCUAAUAAUGGACAGUUUCCCUUUAAGACCAAACCUAGGAUUGGCACCAGCAUGGAAUGUAGAAUGAAUCACGAGCGAUGAGUCCCAGGAUCACAUGACUUCACUCAGGGCCCAACUGCCAGUCACUUCCUAUUUCGCGCGCUUUCCAGGCUGCCAUGCUGUACUGCCUAGAAACAAGCUCCGCCCAUCUCCGUCACGAGCUGAUCGGCCUGUUCUAUACGCCAGAGACCAAAACCCCUUUCCAGUCAGUCUCCGUUACUAAAGGACGAAGGCGUUAAUGGCCGUUAUAGCCCUAGCGGGUGAUUAAUAUUGUCUGUCCCAUAGCAAUGUGUUGGCCCCGAGCCCUCGAACAGUGACAGUAACGGCCUUAGAAACGCAUGCCAACCAGCGAGGCGCUGCUCACAUUCCGUCAUCGGCCGCGGUCGGUCACUCUCUCAGUUUUUCUCCGAAGCUCGGGCCAAUGAACGCCCGGCGAGC